rnacentral:piRNA from 1 species
UUUCAUCAACAAUCAUCAACA